AGCGAACGCUGGCGGUAUGCCUAACACAUGCAAGUCGAACGGCAGCACAGUAAUAUCUUGCGCUUACGGAUUGCGGAUGGCGUACGGGUGAGGAAUACAUCCUAAUCUACUUUUUCGUGUGGCAUAAGGAAGCUAAACUUACUCUCAUAUAGCAUACGCUCUUCCAUGGUAAGCGUUGGAUAUUCUCACCGGGCGCGAAUGAACGCGCCGAUGUCGAGUUAGCUAGUUGGGGGGGUAAAGGCCCACGAAGGCGACGAUCCGUAGCCGGUCUGAGAGGAUGGUAAGCGACACUGGAACUGAGACACGGUCCAGACUCCUACGGGAGGCAGCAGUGGGGAAUAUUGGACAAUGGGCGCAAGCCUGAUCCAGCCAUACCGCGUGGGUGAAGAAGGCCUUCGGGUUGUAAAGCCCUUUUGUUGGGAAAGAAAAGCAGCAGGUUAAUACCCAGCUGUUCUGACGGUACCCAAAGAAUAAGCACCGGCUAACUUCGUG
rnacentral:rRNA from 1 species